AAUCCGGUUGAUCCUGCCGGACCUGACUGCUAUCGGAAUGAUACUAAGCCAUGCGAGUCAUUGUAGCAAUACAAGGCAGACGGCUCAGUAACGCGUAGUCAAUCUACCCUAUGGACGGGGAUAACCUCGGGAAACUGAGAAUAAUACCCGAUAGAACAUUAUGCCUGGAAUGGUUUAUGUUUCAAAUGAUUUAUCGCCAUAGGAUGGGACUGCGGCCUAUCAAUUUGUUGGUGAGGUAAUGGCCCACCAAGACUAUUACAGGUACGGGCUCUGAGAGGAGUAGCCCGGAGAUGGGUACUGAGACACGGACCCAGGCCCUAUGGGGCGCAGCAGGCGAGAAAACUUUGCAAUGUGCGAAAGCACGACAAGGUUAAUCCGAGUGGUUUCUGCUAAAGAAACCUUUUGCCAGUCCUAGAAACACUGGUGAAUAAGGGGUGGGCAAGUUCUGGUGUCAGCCGCCGCGGUAAAACCAGCACCUCAAGUGGUCAGGAUGAUUAUUGGGCCUAAAGCAUCCGUAGCUCGUUUUGUAAGUUUUCGGUUAAAUCCAUGCGCUUAACGUAUGGGCUGCCGGUAAUACUGCAUAACUAGGAAGUGGGAGAGGUAGACGGUACUCGGUAGGAAGGGGUAAAAUCCUUUGAUCUAUUGAUGACCACCUGUGGCGAAGGCGGUCUACCAGAACACGUUCGACGGUGAGGGAUGAAAGCUGGGGGAGCAAACCGGAUUAGAUACCCGGGUAGUCCCAGCUGUAAACUAUGCAAACUCAGUGAUGCAUUGGCUUGUGGCCAAUGCAGUGCUGCAGGGAAGCCGUUAAGUUUGCCGCCUGGGAAGUACGUACGCAAGUAUGAAACUUAAAGGAAUUGGCGGGGGAGCACCACAAGGGGUGAAGCCUGCGGUUCAAUUGGAGUCAACGCCAGAAAUCUUACCCGGAGAGACAGCAGAAUGAAGGUCAAGCUGAAGACUUUACCAGACAAGCUGAGAGGUGGUGCAUGGCCGUCGCCAGCUCGUGCCGUGAGAUGUCCUGUUAAGUCAGGUAACGAGCGAGACCCCUGCC
rnacentral:rRNA from 1 species